rnacentral:misc_RNA from 1 species
AACGCACAUUGCGCCCUUUGGUAUUCCGAGGGGCACACCUGUUCGAGCGUCAUUUAAACCGUCAAGCACCGCUUGGUAUUGGGCGAGGUCUGGCGACCCGCCCGCAACCCGUUGGCGGCACUGUCCGGCUUCAAGCGUAGCAAAAUACCCGCUUUAGGAGCUCGCGACGGCGUUUGCCCGAUAAUUACCAUCUAAAGUUUGACCUCGGAUCAGGUGGGGAUACCCGCUGAACUUAA